UACGAAGGGUGCAAGCGUUACUCGGAAUCACUGGGCGUAAAGCGUGCGUAGGCGGUUCGUUAAGUCUGCUGUGAAAGCCCUGGGCUCAACCUGGGAACUGCAGUGGAUACUGGCGGACUAGAGUGUGAUAGAAGAUGGUGGAAUUCCCGGUGUAGCGGUGAAAUGCGUAGAGAUCGGGAGGAACACCAGUGGCGAAGGCGGCUCACUGGACCAUAACUGACGCUGAUGCACGAAAGCUGGGGGAGCAAACAGG
rnacentral:rRNA from 1 species